GCCAGGUGUGGUGGCUCAUGCUUGUAAUCCCAGCAGCUCGGGAGGCUGGGGCAGGAGGAUCACAAGUUCAAAGCCCACUUCAGUAACAGCAAGGUGCUAAGCAACUGGGUCAGACCCUGUCUCUA
rnacentral:sRNA from 1 species